rfam:Pestalotiopsis fici W106-1 unplaced genomic scaffold PFICI_Scf_7, whole genome shotgun sequence.
GGUCCGAUGGUGUAGUUGGUUAUCACGUCAGUCUAACACACUGAAGGUCGGCGGAUCGAGCCCGCCUCGGAUCA